AAGUCGUAACAAGGUUUCCGUAGGUGAACCUGCGGAAGGAUCAUUCUAGAUUAAUGUUGCUUAUGCUUCAUAUCUCAUGUGCACUGUUACCGUCAAAUUGGAGGCCGUAAGGUCGUCUCUUUGGCACUAUUUUAAUUUACUAUGUACUUUUUGUAUCAUCUAAUACUUAAUUAUUAGACAACUUUUAGCAAUGGAUCUCUAGGCUCUC
rnacentral:misc_RNA from 1 species